UACGAAGGGGGGCUAGCGUUGCUCGGAAUCACUGGGCGUAAAGCGCACGUAGGCGGAUCUUUAAGUCAGGGGUGAAAUCCUGGAGCUCAACUCCAGAACUGCCUUUGAUACUGAGGAUCUUGAGUUCGGGAGAGGUGAGUGGAACUGCGAGUGUAGAGGUGAAAUUCGUAGAUAUCUGGAGGAAUACCGGUGGCGAAGGCGGCAUCCUGGACCGACAUUGACGCUGAGGAGCGAAAAGCUAGGGGAGCAAACGGGG
rnacentral:rRNA from 1 species